rnacentral:misc_RNA from 1 species
AACGCACGAGACCUGCGGACCUGCGGAGGGAUCAUUACCGAGUUAUACAACUCCCAAACCCACUGUGAACCUUACCUCAGUUGCCUCGGCGGGAACGCCCCGGCCGCCUGCCCCCGCGCCGGCGCCGGACCCAGGCGCCCGCCGCAGGGACCCCAAACUCUCUUGCAUUACGCCCAGCGGGCGGAAUUUCUUCUCUGAGUUGCACAAGCAAAAACAAAUGAAUCAAAACUUUCAACAACG